rnacentral:lncRNA from 1 species
UGAAGUCGCUUCUUUCCCGGAUGGUCUCUGUCUUUACAACUAGAUGGGGUGGCAUCACAAAUGAGAACUUUCUGUUUAUCUCUUUCUGUGGAUAAGUCUUUCCAUGCAGGGUGAGUUCAUUCAACAACAACAUGAACCUCUCGUAGAUUUGAGAAAUGUUCUCUCCAGGUAUUGCCUGAAAUGCUUCAUAUCUGGCAAUUAGCAUAUCGUAUCUGUUUUCCCUGACUUCUUCAGAUCCCUCCAUCAAUGCCUCAAUAGUGUCCCACAUCUGCUUUGAAGUUUUCAGACUUAGUAUCAGAUGUGUCAUUGUCUUGGUCAUUGAUUCAACAAUUAUGAGUUGCAGAUUAUGAUCAUGUGCAACAUAUUCCUUAUCAGUGUCAGUGUAUUCACUUUUCUCUUUGGGAACAGACUUCUGUGGAAUACGAACACCAUUUUCAA